GCUGGGUGCAGUGGCGCAUGCCAGUAAUCCUAGCUACUUGGGAGGCUGAGGUGGGGGGAUUGCUUGAGCCCAGGAGUUCUAGGCUGUAGAGCGCUAUGACAAUCGGGUGUCCACACUAAGUUUGGCAUCAAUAUGGUGACCUCCUGGGAACAGGGGACCACCAGGUUUGCUGCCUAAGGAAGGGUGAACCAGCCCAGGUCAGACACUGAGCAGGUCAAAACUCCCAUACUGAUCAGUAGUGGGAUCGUGCCUAUGAAUAGCCACUGCACUCUGCACUCUAGCCUGAGCAACACAGCAAGACCCCAUCUCUU
ensembl:misc_RNA Metazoa_SRP Metazoan signal recognition particle RNA